rnacentral:lncRNA from 1 species
CAUGUGUCUACUGAUUAUGUAUUGAGAGGCUAAAAUGCAUAGGUGAGUAUGUAGGAGUUGUUUGUAACGACCCAACAUUUCUAAGUAAGUCGAGGUCGUUAAUUUUUAACAAAUAAACUUUGAUUGAUACAAAUCGAAACAUAAGUCAAUUUAAAAACAAAACAUGUCAGGCCUGAUUUUCAAAUAUUCAAGAAAACUUAACAACAACACUAUUUACAAAUAAAAGUUUGUAAACUAAGUUUUAGUACAUCUUAAACCUUAAAAGAAAUCAUAAGCGGAAGCAAAAUAACACAUUCCCUAUGGCAAUCACGCUUCCUUCCUGCCCCUCGCCGGUUUGCCACCUUUAUUUCCUUUGCCUGAAAAUUAAACAUAAGAAGGGUGAGUAUAACAAUACUCAGUAAGAGACCCUCUACUGGUCUCGUCAGGGGAAAAUAAAUUGUUAAAGUUCUAUUGGGACACCCUGUACAGUCGCAGUCUUGUGAUCCCGUAGGAUACACAUUUCAGUCUAACGCCCCGAAGGACGUACAUAUCAGUCUGACGCCCCGAGGGACGUACAUAUCAGUCAAGUGUUCUGCAGAACACAUAUCAGUCAAAUGCUCCCGAAGGUGCAAAAUAAAUUGGUGAUCCCGUGGGACACCUACAAGGUAAUCAUCCCAAUACAACCUAACAAUCUAUCCCCUCAUUCCAUUCAACCCAUCCUUCAGAUACUUCAAAACAUAGAGUUCUUUCUCUCAACGUCCUAACAGUCAACUUAUCUCACUUAGGUCAUAUGUCUGUCAAUAACAUACUAAUACAUCAGUCAAUCAAACUAUACAGUCAAUACACCCCUCAGAUCACCAGCACACAGUCAUACUUUAGCGUAACGACACCCAAUCUAAACGACAAUCACAAGAUCGCAUCUGCAUCUCAUACAAGCAUAAUCUACAAUUUUCGUCCUGUCCACAUCCACACACAUAUAUAUAUAUUCCAUGACAAUCACAAUAUGCAUUCCACAUUAAGUCUACUUCAAUUCCUAUGCAUAUAUAUAUAUAUUUUCAGUCAAUCCACAGUGUACAUUCAGCACCGAAUCUACACCCAUACGUGUAUAAACAUAAGUAUCAUCUCAACAUCUUUACUCAGUCAAAGAUAAUCAUUUAGACAUGCAAUUCACAAUCAUAAGUGAGUCCAGUAGAAAAUCCCUUACCUUCAAAUUUGUUAAGCUCCUUAACCACGUUGAAGUCUAUGAAGAACGAACCUAAACAUUAAGAAAAUUUCUCAAUAAUUCCCUUCAACGCAUCAGUCAUUUAAAUUCAACCCAAUGUGAAUCUUUUUGCAACUUACCCAAAUCUUCGCGAAAGAAAUCGAGCAGUGGCUUUGCGAAGAGAUGACGUGCGGCGGAAAGACCGUAUACAGAUGGCCGGAGAGUCGCGCGGCAGUGCAGACGACGGAGGAGAAGAAAUCGGCGGCGGCUGGGCUGAAAACAGAGGAGAAAGGAGAGGGGAGACAGCCGGCGGUUACAGGUUCACGCGGCGGCCUUGCUUCGCGAACAGAGAUGGCGGCCGACGGUUGCAGCGACGUCCGGCUGGGUUUGGACGGAACGGAGAGGAAAAGAGAAGAUGGAGAUGGCCGACGGCAGUUGCUGUGCGAACGGAUGGGGCGGCUGACUGCGGUUGGCUGCGGCAGGACGGGAAGAAGAAUAGGGAAAAUGGGUGGGCGGCUGCUAGGGUACCGGAAGGAGAAGAAAAGAAAAAUGAGAGAGGGGUUGUGUGCGCGCGAGAGAGAGAGGUAAAUUUCUUUUUCUUUUCUUUUUAUUUAAAUUAAGUAUAAAAAUAUAUAUAUAUAUAUAAAAUUAAAAACAAAAUAUAUAUAUACAUACCUUUGGGGCAUUACAUUCUUCCCUCCUUAAGAAACUUUCGUCCUCGAAAGUUCUAAUCCUGAAAUAACUCUGGAUAACGAGUCCUCAUUUCUUCCUCUCGCUCCCAUGUCGCCUCUUCAAUUCGAUGAUUCCGCCACAAAACCUUUACUAAUGGAAUGCUUCUAUUACGAAGCAUCUUUACCUCUCUAGCCAGAAUCUCCACAGGUUGUUCUACAUAGCUCAAAUGCUCAUCAAUCUCCAAGGGUUCAUAGUCCACUACAUGAGACGUAUCGGCCACAUACUUCCUCAACAUCGAAACAUGGAAAACAUUAUGAACUGCAGAGAGUGAUGGUGGUAAUGCCAAGCGAUACGCCACAACACCAACCCUCUCUAAGAUCUCAAAUGGUCCAACAAAACGAGGACUUAACUUCCCUUUCUUCUCAAAACGCAUAACACCCUUCAUAGGUGCUACCUUCAAGAAUACCUUUUCUCCCACAUCGAACUUAAGGUCUUUUCGCCGUACAUCUGCAUAACUCUUCUGUCUACUCUGCGCUGUUUGCAUACGUGCUCUAAUCUUUUGAAUAGCCUCAUUAGUAGACCGAACUAAUUCAGGUCCCAUCAAUCUAUGUUCACCAACCUCACUCCAACAAACAGGGGUUCUACAACAUUUGCCAUACAAAGCCUCAAAUGGUGCCAUACCGAUGGUAGCCUGGAAACUGUUGUUAUAAGCAAACUCCAUCAAAUGUAGAUGAGAGUCCCAACUACCUGGAAACUCUAUAACACAAGCUCGUAGCAUAUCCUCUAAAACUUGGUUCAAACGUUCAGUUUGACCAUCAGUCUGUGGAUGAAAGGCUGUACUGAAAUCCAAUCUCGUACCCAUAGCAGUCUGAAGUCCCUUCCAAAACUUGGAAGUAAACCGUGCAUCCCUAUCAGAAACAAUCGAUACAGGCACUCCAUGCAGUCUCACAAUCUCAGUUAAAUACAACUCUGCCCACUUACUAGCAGUAUAAGUGGAUUUUCCUGGUACAAAAUGUGCCGAUUUCGUAAGCCUGUCUAUGACAACCAGAAUCACUGUGAAACCCUUCAGGGUCUUAGGCAGCCCUGAAAUAAAAUCCAUCGACACAUUCUCCCACUUCCACUCUGGCACACUUAAAGGUUGUAAUAAACCUGCUGGUUUCUGUCUAGGUGCCUUAACUUGCUGACAUACUAGACACUUACUAACAAAUUCCGCCACUUCCCUUUUCAUAUUCCGCCACCAAUAAAAUCGUUUUAGAUCCUGAUACAUUUUCGUGCUACCAGGAUGCAUGGAAAAUGGGGAAUUAUGGGCUUCAUCUAGUAAGUCAAUCUUAACUGUACUGUUCGCUGGCACACAUAAACGUCUCUCAAACAUCAACCCACCAUCAGAGGAUAUGGAGAACUCAUCAGUCUGCCCUGUUUCAACAAGGCGACGUCUCUCCAUCAAAUAAGGAUCAUUACUCUGAGCAUCAACAAUCUUGUGCCUCAGAGUCGGUUGCACCGUUAAUUGAGCUAGCUGUGAGGUGACUCUCCCCACAGACACUGCAAUCUCAGCUCUCUCCAAGUCUCGAUGCAAUGGUACCUGUCUAGUAAUGAGUGCUGCCGAAUGUGAUACUUUUCUACUAAGAGCAUCAGCCACCACAUUCGCCUUACCAGGAUGGUAUAAUAUCUCACAGUCAUAAUCUUUUACCAACUCGAGCCACCUUCGCUGUCUCAUAUUCAACUCCUUCUGAGUGAAGAAGUACUUUAGGCUCUUAUGGUCAGUAAAGAUUUGUAUCUUUUCACCGUACAAGUAAUGUCUCCAUAUCUUCAAUGCAAAAACCACUGCUGCCAACUCCAAAUCAUGUGUGGGGUAGUUCUGCUCGUGACUCUUCAACUGACGAGAGGCAUAAGCAACCACCUUACCUUUCUGCAUCAAAACACAACCCAGUCCUUUCUUGGAAGCAUCACUGUAAAUCACAAAACUUCCAGAUCCAUCUGGUACAGUAAGGACCGGUGCAGUAACUAACCUUUGCUUAAGGUUCUGAAAACUAUCCUCACAAGCUGGACUCCAAACAAACGGAGUUCCCUUCCUUGUCAACUGAGUCAAAGGAGUAGCCAAACGUGAAAAAUCCUCCACAAACCUCCGGUAGUACCCUGCUAAACCCAGAAAACUACGAACCUCACUAACUGUAGAGGGUCGAGACCAACUGGUAACCGCUUCUAUCUUUGCAGGGUCUACUGAAACUCCCUCACUGGAAACCACAUGACCAAGAAAAGCCACCUGCUUCAACCAAAAUUCGCACUUCGAGAACUUAGCAUACAGUUUAUUGGCUCGAAGAGUCUCUAAUACCUUAUGUAAAUGUUCCUCAUGUUCGACUUCAGUCUUGGAAUAAACCAAGAUAUCAUCAAUGAAGACUAUCACAAAAGUGUCCAAGAAAUCCUUAAACACCCUGUUCAUCAAAUCCAUAAAUACAGCAGGUGCAUUAGUCAAACCAAAAGACAUCACUAUGAAUUCAUAAUGUCCAUACCUCGAACGAAAGGCAGUCUUAGGAAUAUCACGGUCUCUAAUCCUCAACUGGUGAUAACCUGACCGUAAGUCAAUCUUAGAGAACACCGUGGCUCCCUGUAACUGAUCGAACAAAUCAUAGAUUCUGGGUAAAGGAUAUCUGUUCUUGACUGUUACUUUAUUCAACUCUCUAUAGUCAAUGCAAAGACGCAUCGACCCAUCCUUCUUCUUCACAAACAAUACUGGUGCACCCCAAGGUGACACACUAGGUCGAAUAAAGCCUUUGUCAAGCAAUUCCUGUAACUGUACCUUCAGUUCUUUCAACUCAGCAGGAGCCAUCCUAUAAGGGGCUCUAGAAAUAGGAGUAGUGUUUGGCUCCAACUCAAUGGCAAAAUCAACCUCUCUAUGUGGCGGUAGUCCUGGAAGAUCUUUUGGAAAUACAUCUGGGUAUUCUCUUACCACAGGUUCUGAAGUUAAAGAAGUCUCACCUUCCCUAGUAUCCACCACACUUGCCAAAAUACUCCAAGUACCCUGGUUGAGUAGUUUACUAGCUUUCAUAGCUGAGAUUACUUUAGGCAGUACUACUGUUCCUACUCCCUUGAAUUUAAAGCUAGAUGCAGUAGGGGGACUGAACACAACUUCCUUACGAGAACAAUCAAUACUAGCAUGAUUAGUAGCUAGCCAAUCCAUACCUAAAAUUACAUCAAAGUCACGCAUAUCUAAUACCAACAAGGUUACGUCCAGCACACGACCAGCUAUCUCAAUUUCACAUGCUUUAAUCUUUUCCUUAGACAACAUAAUUUCUCCAGACGGUGUAGACACUGACAAAACAUAGUCUAAGGGUUCCACCUCUAAGCAUGCAUGCGUCACAAAAAGCGAUGAAAUAAAUGAAUGAGAAGAUCCCGAGUCAAACAAGGUCAAGGCAAAAUGCCCUAAUACUGGUAAUGUACCUGUCACUACUGUGCCGGCCUUCUCUGCCUCUGAUCUAUUAGUGGCAAAGAUUGUACCCCGCUGUGGAGGUCUCUCUCCCUGACUGCUCGAUCCAGCCCCAGUAGAUCUCAAGGGACACCUAUCAGCCAUGUGUCCCUUCUUGCUUGCACUUAUAACAGACUCUCGUUCCCAUCAAACAACGACCCAGGUGGCGUUUCCCACACGUAUCACAUACUGGCCUCUCUUGAGUAGUGUCUCCUGCACCGCCAGAACUCUGCUGGAAACUGCGAAAAGAAUCACCUGGUCUCAUGUUCCUCUGAGGAACUCCUACAGUUCUCUGCUCUACUUUUCUCUUUUGACCCGACGACGAUCCCUUAUUAAAGCUCCUUGGCUGUCUUUCAUCCUUCCCAAUACUCAUAUCCACUGCCAGACGCAGUGCUUCAGCUUGGGUAGUGGGCUUUAGUGCUCGCACAAAACCCCUAAUUUCAUCUCUCAAUCCCUUGACGAACCUAUCAGCUCUAGCCUGCUCAUUACUAACAAGCUCAGGGGCAAAACGUGACAGCAUAUCAAACUCCUGGUCGUACUCCUCGACUGUCAUAUAUCCUUGCUUCAACUCCAAGAAUUCCUGGCUUUUGGCGUCUCUAAGGUUAGCCGAGAAAAACUUGGUAUAGAAGCAGUCCUUAAACUGAUCCCAGGUAAUCUGCCUCACAUCUCCACCUAGCAUGCGCAUUGUAGUCCUCCACCAGAUAAUGCCUCUGUCCCUCAGUAGAAAAGCAGCACACUGAACUCUGUGCUCCUCGGGACAUCUCAUGUAAUUAAAUAUGGUUUCCACAGAGGACAACCACAUUUCAGCUUUAGUAGGAUCCUCCAGUGACCCAUCAAACGUCUGAGGGUCAUACUUCCGAAAGUCCCUCAAAUGUUUCGCCUCAGCAGAAAGUUGGUUAGGUAAUUCUUGUGCAGGAGGGGCUGCUGGUGCAGGGGGAACUACAGGUGCAGGUGGGACUGCAGGUGCCUGCUGGUUUUGAGCUAUAGCUGUCAUAAGUUCUGUAAACCUCUGCUCCAUGUGAGCAGACAGUGCAUCAAACUCGACGUGAGUCACGGGUGCAGCAGGAAUUCGCUGUUCAGCUUGACCCUCAGUAGGCUGAUUACGACCUGCUCCUCUACCUCGGCCUCCUGCUCCUCUACCUCGGCCUCUACGACCUCCUCUACGUACUUCUUCCCUUGGCGGCAUAAUUCCUAUUAUCCACCAACAACACUCUUUAACAAAAUCUUAAUCAUAAACAUAAGCAAGUCUUUAUCGUCAUGCAAUCUAGUUUAAUUUAGGCAAGGUCAUGCAAAUAAACCAUACAUAUAAGCAUCAAGCAUACCUGACGAGAGACGAAGGGUCGCGUUUGCCAUAGGAACACAAAAACAUAGACUUACAUCGUAAGUCAGUCUACAGAACCUAAAACUUAGGCUCUGAUACCAACUGUAACGACCCAACAUUUCUAAGUAAGUCGAGGUCGUUAAUUUUUAACAAAUAAACUUUGAUUGAUACAAAUCAAAACGUAAGUCAAUUUAAAAAAAAAAACAAUGUCAGGCCUGAUUUUCAAAUAUUCAAGAAAACUUAACAAUAAUACUAUUUACAAAUAAAAGUUUGUAAACUAAGUUUUAUUACAUCUUAAACCUUAAAAGAAAUCAUAAGCGGAAGCAAAAUAACACGUUUCCUAUGGCAAUCACGCUUCCUUCCUGCCCCUCGCCGGUUUGCCGCCUUUAUUUCCUUUGCCUGAAAAUUAAACAUAAGAAGGGUGAGAUUUUAAAAUACUCAGUAAGAGACCCUCUACUGGUCUCGUCAGGGGAAAAUAAAUUGUUAAAGUUCUAUUGGGACACCCUGUACAGUCGCAGUCUUGUGAUCCCGUAGGAUACACAUUUCAGUCUAACGCCCCGAAGGACGUACAUAUCAGUCUAACGCCCCGAGGGACGUACAUAUCAGUCAAGUGUUCUGCAGAACACAUAUCAGUCAAAUGCUCCCGAAGGUGCAAAAUAAAUUGGUGAUCCCGUGGGACACCUACAAGGUAAUCAUCCCAAUACAACCUAACAAUUUAUCCCCUCAUUCCAUUCAACCCAUCCUUCAGAUACUUCAAAACAUAGAGUUCUUUCUCUCAACGUCCUAACAGUCAACUUAUCUCACUUAGGUCAUAUGUCUGUCAAUAACAUACUAAUACAUCAGUCAAUCAAACUAUACAGUCAAUACACCCCUCAGAUCACCAGCACACAGUCAUACUUUAGCGUAACGACACCCAAUCUAAACGACAAUCACAAGAUCGCAUCUGCAUCUCAUACAAGCAUAAUCUACAAUUUUCGUCCUGUCCACAUCCACACACAUAUAUAUAUAUUCCAUGACAAUCACAAUAUGCAUUCCACAUUAAGUCUACUUCAAUUCCUAUGCAUAUGUAUAUAUAUUUUCAGUCAAUCCACAGUGUACAUUCAGCACCGAAUCUACACCCAUACGUGUAUAAACAUAAGUAUCAUCUCAACAUCUUUACUCAGUCAAAGAUAAUCAUUUAGACAUGCAAUUCACAAUCAUAAGU